GCUCAGUUGUUAGAGCUGCGAGCGCACAUGUGUAGGGGUUUGCUCCUCGACACAGCGGCCGCGGGUUCGGCUCCGGCCUGCGGCCCUUUGCUGCAUGUCGUUCCGUCCCUCACUCCCCUUUCAUGUCUUCGUCUGUCCUGUGGAGGUAGAGGCCUAAAAAUGCCCCAAAAAAUAAU